rnacentral:misc_RNA from 1 species
CCGCCAUCACACACACACACACACACACACACACCAGUGCACUCAUUGUUGCUCCGUGUCGCUACCUCCCUCCUCACCACCUUCUUUACUCACUUAGGCAACGAAAACGACGACAACAAAACGCACGUCAACUACUUCUUGCGCAUCUGCUUUGCUCUCCUUACCACUUACCGUCUCGCUCUUGCUCGCACUCUCCCUGAUUUUCUGCAUUCCUACUCCUCCCCCUCCUCGUGCGCGCCCCGGCUAGGCUGAAGGGGCAAGGUGAGCACAAGGAGUCGACAUCGGGCUGUCGCGUAUCUUGCAUGCAUCUACCUUUUUGCCGUUGUUCUCGGUGCUGAUGGUGUGUGCUUGCUUGAUUGUUUGCGUUCAAUCGCCCCCAGAAUCGCCGAAAUCUGGAAGAAUGAGUGUCUUCCGCUUACCCCUCCACCCCCUCUUCGCCCUUGCGUGUACCGUAAAAGGUGUCCGCAGUAGUACGUCGUAUGGUGUGGCUGUAUGCAUAGCGUGUUUGAGUAUGUGCUUUCGUGUUUUGGUUGCCUGGGGUGGGUGGGUGGGGCUCACGCUCAGUUGUUAGCAGGCGCACGUCUGUGUGCCUUUUGGUGUUUGUUUGAAUGGCGAUAUCAUGUGUGUACCGUAGGCGGGUCUCUAGCUUUCCCGCCUCUCAUGUGACGCCCAAGAAGAGAUGGUGAAGUCGAAGAAGAGAUGCCGCCACCCCUCUUCCUCCUUUAGCGAUAUUUCCACAAGAAGAAACGAAUAAGAUGGAAGCACAGAAACCAAAACGAAGGACGCAGCACUCGCGUGCUGGAGCGAGGUGUAAACGGAGAGAGGGAGAGGACAAGAGAAGUCCGUGUGUAAGAGUGUCGACCUUUUCGUCUCGCAUGAGGUCGAGUUGAGGGCGUGCCAUCAGCUAUGCAGUGGAGGUACUCUGUGCUAGAAGACGGGGAGUCGCAUCUGACGGCUUUCUUUACUCUGCGCAGAGUUGCCUGGUGUGAAACGCCGCACAAUGCGGAGCCGGUUUCGGUGACUUCUCGACUCAACAACGAGAAUUCUACACUACAUUGUGGUGAACGCACAGUCGGUGCAGAUAGCCGGUGUCGCCCUUGCUCUCGGCCGCGGCGCUCAACGUUGCAAGACUCACUGAUGCCGCUCUCUCUCUCUCUGCCCAUUCCAGAAUGUGCUUCGUGAUCUGAGCUUUACUUGUGCCGUUUGUUUUCUCCACCAUCUUCCUGCUUUCAUGUACUCUUUCCCACAUUCUGCAAUGUGCUUCGCGACACCGCCGUUGGACACCCGGCAAG